rnacentral:lncRNA from 1 species
GGGUGGUAAUCAAAUCAUAAAUAUGAUAUUUUUAAAAUAUAGAUUAAGAAAUAUUAUUUUUAGCUAUGUCAUUUUCUAUUUUAAGACUGUUAUGAUGCAUUUAAAUAUGUUUCAAACUCCAUUUGAAAUUUGAAUUUGGGGAAAGGAGGGGGGAGUCAAUGCACAACUGCAUAGUGUAUUGCACAACAGCAAAAAAUUGAAU